rnacentral:lncRNA from 1 species
UCCCUCAGAAAAAAAUCUGAGCAGUUUCUCUAAUCAUUGGGUGACUUUGGCAGCAGCCCCUGCAGGUAUCUGGAUCCAUCUCUAUCAGUGGCUCUAAGCACCAACCUUCAAUGGCUGCCUGCCUCAGUUUACCCACCACUUGGAUGUCAAAGCUGGUCAUUAGCAAUUUAAUGCAGGAUUGCUGUCUUCAUACUACUUGAACUCAACUCCUCUUCCAAGGCCUGCUUCUUGUGAAAUCUAAGACUCUCCUAUGAAUGGACUGGAUAAAGAGAACGGAAUACUCCAGCCUGUGUUUCCCUCCAUUAUACCCAGAAUGCUUUAAGCCUGGAAGCAUUUUUGUGCUUGGGGAAUUUGUUUAGCCAGAAGGAAUGAAUAAGAUGCUUUAAAAAUCUUUCUACUCCCUGAUUGUUCUAGGCUCCAUUUUGCUGUUAAAUAGGCAAAUGCAUGGAACUAGAAAAUAUCAUCUUGACUGAGGAAACCCAGACACAAAGGAACACACAUAGUAUAUACUCACUGAUAAGUGGAUAUUAACCCAAAAGCUCAGAAUACCCAGGAUACAACUCACAGACCAUAUGAAGCUUAAGAAGAGGAAGUCCAAAGUGUGGAUGCUUCAAUCCUACUUAGAAGGGGAAACAAAUUAAUCUUAAGAAAUGGAGGGAGAAACCUGGAAGGGAGCGAGGAUGGGGGAGGGGAAAUGGGGGGGCAGGAUCAGGUAUGGCAGGAGAUGAGGGAGAUGUACAGAGGGUCAGGGAACUGAAUAGAGGUAUGUAGCAGUGGGGUAUGAGGAACUGCGGGUAGCCACUAGAAAGUCCCAAAUGCCAGGGAAGCAAGAUAUUCCCAGGACACAUUGGGGAAGACAUUAGCAGACAUACCCAACAAAGGGAAGAUAGAUCCUGUAGAGACCAUCUAGUAGAUAGGCAUGGCCUCCAGUUGACAGAUGGGACCACCCACCCAUCUCAAAUAUUUUAACCCAGAACUGUUCCUUUCAAAAGGAAAUGCAGAAACAAAAAGUGGAGCAAAGACUGAAGGAAAGGCCAUCCAGAGACUGCCCCACCUGGGAAUCCAUCCUACCUUCAGACACAAAACCCAGGCACUAUUGCUGAUACCAAGAAGCACUUGGUGAGAGGAGCCUAGUUUAGCUGUCCCCUGAGAGGCUCUGCCAGCACCUGACCAAUACAAUGCAAGUUCUCACAGGCAACCACUGGACUGAGCCUGGGGACCACAAUGGAAGAGUUAGGAAAAGGAUUGAAGGAGCUGAAGAGGAUUGCAACCCCAUAGGGAGAACAACAAUAUCAACCAAUCUGAACAUCCAGAGCUCCCAGGGACUAAACCACCAACCAAAGAGUUCACAUGGAGGAACCCAAGACUCCAGCUACAUAUGUACCAGAGAAUUGCCUUAUCUGGCAUCAAUGGGAGUGGAGGCCUUUGGUCCUGUGGAGGCUUGACACCCCAGUGUAAGGGGAUACUAGAGUGGUGAGACAGGAAUGGACGGGGGUGGGGGGGUGAGGGGGGUGGGGGGAGCAACUUCAUAGAGGCAAAAGGGAGGGGGAAUAGGAUUGGAGGGGUUGCAGAGGGGAGACCAGGCAGGGGGAUAACAUUUGAAAUGUAAAUAAAUAAAAUAACCUAAAAAAAAGAAAAGAAAAAGAAAAAGAAAAAGAAAAAGAAAAAGAAAAGAAAAAGAAAAGAAGCUAUUGACAAUGUACAGCUGCAGGGGGGAAGGGAAGUAUGAUUUCUUCAGGAAUAUUGCCCAUGAAAGACUACAUAUGUUCUACUUCAUGCACAUACAGGUGGAGUCCAUGGAUGAAGGGGGAGGGCAAAGGAAGUUGGAUAGGAAAUAUAGGGGAGUAAUUGCAAUAGACAGAAUGGAACGUGGAUUUGGUAAAAUUCUCAAUAAAAAUUAUCUAAAAAUUAAGUCAAGUA